rnacentral:rRNA from 1 species
CCUACGGGAGGCAGCAGUGGGGAAUAUUGCGCCAUGGGCGAACGCCUGACGCAGCGACGCCGCGUGAGGGCUGAAGGUCUUCGGAUCGUCAACCUCUGUCAGCAGGGCAGAACGGUCACUGUGCUAAUCAGCAGUGACUUGACGGUAACUGCAAAGGCAGCACCGGCUAACUCCUUUCCAGAAGGCGCGGUAAUACGGAGGGUGCGAGCGUUAAUCGGAAUUCCUGGGAGUAAAGCGCUCGUAGGCGGUAUGUCAAGUCAAGGGUGAAAUCCCCGCGCUGAACGUUGGAUCUGCCUUUGAAACGUGCAAACUGGAGUGUGUGAGAGGAGAGGGGAAGUCCAGGUGUAGGAGUGAAAUCCGUAGAUAUCUGGAGGAACAUCAGUGGCGAAGGCGACUAUCUGGCACAUAACUGACGCUGAGGAGCGAAAGCGUGGGUAGCAAACAGGAUUAGAUACCCUAGUAGUC